rnacentral:rRNA from 1 species
GUGUCUUCGAGUCGUUGAUUUCACACUGCCGAGAAAAGCCUCUAGAUAGAAAAUAGGUGCCCGUACCGCAAACCGACACAGGUAGUCAAGAUGAGAAUUCUAAGGUGAGCGAGCGAACUCUCGUUAAGGAACUCGGCAAAAUGACCCCGUAACUUCGGGAGAAGGGGUGCUCUUUAGGGUUAACGCCCAGAAGAGCCGCAGUGAAUAGGCCCAAGCGACUGUUUAUCAAAAACACAGGUCUCUGCUAAACCGUAAGGUGAUGUAUAGGGGCUGACGCCUGCCCGGUGCUGGAAGGUUAAGAGGAGUGGUUAGCUUCUGCGAAGCUACGAAUCGAAGCCCCAGUAAACGGCGGCCGUAACUAUAACGGUCCUAAGGUAGCGAAAUUCCUUGUCGGGUAAGUUCCGACCCGCACGAAAGGCGUAACGAUUUGGGCACUGUCUCAACGAGAGACUCGGUGAAAUCAUAGUACCUGUGAAGAUGCAGGUUACCCGCGACAGGACGGAAAGACCCCGUGGAGCUUUACUGUAGCCUGAUAUUGAAAUUCGGCACAGCUUGUACAGGAUAGGUAGGAGCCUUUGAAACGUGAGCGCUAGCUUACGUGGAGGCGCUGGUGGGAUACUACCCUAGCUGUGUUGGCUUUCUAACCCGCACCACUUAUCGUGGUGGGAGACAGUGUCAGGCGGGCAGUUUGACUGGGGCGGUCGCCUCCUAAAAGGUAACGGAGGCGCUCAAAGGUUCCCUCAGAAUGGUUGGAAAUCAUUCAUAGAGUGUAAAGGCAUAAGGGAGCUUGACUGCGAGACCUACAAGUCGAGCAGGGUCGAAAGACGGACUUAGUGAUCCGGUGGUUCCGCAUGGAAGGGCCAUCGCUCAACGGAUAAAAGCUACCCCGGGGAUAACAGGCUUAUCUCCCCCAAGAGUUCACAUCGACGGGGAGGUUUGGCACCUCGAUGUCGGCUCAUCGCAUCCUGGGGCUGUAGUCGGUCCCAAGGGUUGGGCUGUUCGCCCAUUAAAGCGGUACGCGAGCUGGGUUCAGAACGUCGUGAGACAGUUCGGUCCCUAUCCGUCGUGGGCGUAGGAAAUUUGAGAGGAGCUGUCCUUAGUACGAGAGGACCGGGAUGGACAUACCUCUGGUGUACCAGUUGUCGUGCCAACGGCAUAGCUGGGUAGCUAUGUGUGGACGGGAUAAGUGCUGAAAGCAUCUAAGCAUGAAGCCCCCCUCAAGAUGAGAUUUCCCAACUUCGGUUAUAAGAUCCCUCAAAGAUGAUGAGGUUAAUAGGUUCGAGGUGGAAGCAUGGUGACAUGUGGAGCUGACGAAUACUAAUCGAUCGAAGACUUAAUCAA